UACGUAGGGCGCAAGCGUUGUCCGGCAUCAUUGGGCGUAAAGAGCUCGUAGGUGGUCUGUUACGUCUGCUGUGAAAUCCUAGGGCUUAACCCUGGGCCUGCAGUGGAUACGGGCAGACUAGAGGUAGGUAGGGGAGAAUGGAAUUCCCGGUGUAGCGGUGAAAUGCGCAGAUAUCGGGAGGAACACCGGUGGCGAAGGCGGUUCUCUGGGCCUUACCUGACACUGAGGAGCGAAAGCGUGGGGAGCGAACAGG
rnacentral:rRNA from 1 species